UACAGGGGGUGCAAACGUUGCUCGGAAUUAUUGGGCGUAAAGCGCGCGUAGGCGGCCGCUUAAGUCGGAUGUGAAAGCCCCUGGCUCAACUGGGGAAGUGCACCCGAAACUGAGUGGCUUGAGUACUAAAGAGGGUCGCGGAAUUCCCGGUGUAGAGGUGAAAUUCGUAGAUAUCGGGAGGAACACCGGUGGCGAAGGUGGCGACCUGGGUAGAUACUGACGCUGAGGCGCGAAAGCGUGGGGAGCAAACAGG
rnacentral:rRNA from 1 species